UACGGAGGGUGCAAGCGUUGUCCGGAAUUAUUGGGCGUAAAGAGCUCGUAGGCGGUUUGUCGCGUCUGCUGUGAAAUCUGGGGGCUCAACCCCCAGCCUGCAGUGGGUACGGGCAGACUAGAGUGCGGUAGGGGAGAUUGGAAUUCCUGGUGUAGCGGUGGAAUGCGCAGAUAUCAGGAGGAACACCGAUGGCGAAGGCAGAUCUCUGGGCCGUAACUGACGCUGAGGAGCGAAAGCAUGGGGAGCGAACAGG
rnacentral:rRNA from 1 species